UACGGAGGGGGCUAGCGUUGUUCGGAAUUACUGGGCGUAAAGCGCGCGUAGGCGGAUCUGCAAGUCGGGGGUGAAAUCCCGAGGCUCAACCUCGGAACUGCCUUCGAUACUGCGGGUCUCGAGUCCGGGAGAGGUGAGUGGAAUUCCUAGUGUAGAGGUGAAAUUCGUAGAUAUUAGGAAGAACACCAGUGGCGAAGGCGGCUCACUGGCCCGGUACUGACGCUGAGGCGCGAAAGCGUGGGGAGCAGACAGG
rnacentral:rRNA from 1 species